UCCGUAUAGUGCCGUCGAUCGCACGGGUU
rnacentral:sRNA from 1 species